ACAGUGGGUAUAGAAUAGAAUCAUCCCCCUUAAAAUAAUGUUAGUGUUAUAUCUUUCACUUGCAUGUUAAAAGUUGCACUGAAUAAAUACAGCUGUAUAAAACAAAAACUGUCCGUCUUCAUUUCAGGCUUCGAAGCAACAAAAUGUGAUUAUUUUAAAGAGGGGUGAUUCUUUUCUAUAACCACUGUAUGUGUAUGUAUGUGUAUAUAAAUAAUAUUUAUUUAUUUAAUUAUUAUUCUUUUUUUAAAUCCUUGUAUGCUUGACUUUAUCCCUAGAAAGGUAUACAAAACAUUUUGUCUCCCAUUUGCUUUAAUAGCAGCAUCAGUGUCACUCACUGCUCUUGAUUACUCUCCUAACAAUUGAAAAUAUUUAUUUUUAUAUUCAUUUUACAUCAUUAUACCAUUUUUUUAAUAAUCCUGAUACUUUAUUUUGAUGUUUUAAUCAGACACAUUGAUUUGAAUAAUGAAAAGGCCACUUUGUCAUUAAAUAUUGCCAAGAAUGUGAUCACCAUUUGUGUAUAUAUAUUAUAUCUUCAUCUCUCUCUCAUCCUCAUCAUCCUCCUCAUUACACUCAUCAGUAGUGUGUGUUUAUGAGUGGGCUGGUUGGUGUGUAUGCUUGUCUGUAAAAUUAUGAAUGGGCUUUGGGGUGUGUGUGAGAGAGAGAGAGCGAGAGAGAGAGAGAAACGGAGGGAUGGAGAGACACUAUUCUGCAUCGUGAAAUGAGAAGGAUUCACUCACUGGCUGCUCACCUUCACAGACAGACAAGGAGAAGGCUGCUUGGGUAGAUUGGCAGAUUGUGUUUGAGGAGACACUCAGUCUGAGCUCACGGCUAAAUCAUGGAUCAGAAGUCCACUUCACCCCAGAGACACACGGUGAAAAGCAGGUCGAAGUCUACAGAGGAAGUCCAGCAAGCUAAAAAGGCCUUCCACAUACCCCAGAAAUCACUGCCUGGAGGGUCAGAGUUGGAAAAGGUGAAGGAAGGCCCGGAAGAAAAUGUGACUCCAGCAUCAUCCACAGAAGAGCUGAAGUGAUGCUGCCAUUAAUCUGUUUCUCUCACACACAAACACACACAUAAAGAUAAAUGCUUGGUUUUUUAAAAACAAGGUUUGGUCUAGUUAAAGCAUUAGCUUUUUCUUUUGUUGGAUGAUUUUCAGUACAGCUAAACACACGCAGAAACACGAAAUCUGUCAACUUGCAGCACGUUCAGUCUGUCUGCGCUGCAUCUGUGUACACUGACAUGCUGUUUAUAUAAACUCAAUGCUUUCACUAUGAACAUCAGGGCAUGUGUGCUUUUACAUUUAAAGAAGCUCAAGCAAAAUUAGAUCAAUGGUUAGUGCAAAUAAAUAUAAAAUUAUAGGCUCAAUGAAAUUUAAAUUUGAAACUUUGUGGCUUUUUAUUUUUAGUAUAUAGCUUUGAGGUCAUCCAUAGUGUACAGUACACACGUUUAAAAUGUACAGCUUUUUCUUGGAAGACUGAGAGAAAAUGCUGAUGAAGAUAGUGAAUAGUAUCUACUUUCUUUUAUUACCUCAUUAUAAUUGGGCAUGAAAAUUUCUGCACAGCCAGUAGGUGGUGUUAAUGUGUAAAUUUUGGCCGUCAUAUUAAUAGUUUCUAUAUAUGACAUAAAUCUGGGAUGUGAUGGAAAAAGAGAUGAAAGAAUAACAUUUCAGGCCUUUUGUACCAAAUGUGUUUGCAUUUUGCAUCACAAAAGUGAUAGAAAGCAAAGUUAGCAAGCGAACACAAAGCUUCUUGAAGCAAUUUUUUUCCCCCUACCAUAUCAGAAUGAGUGUUUUUUUUUUUUAUUUAGUUUCGAUAAAUGCUUUUUUCCCCUUCCUUUUUUUUACUUCAGGGAUUUUUGUGUUCUGAAAGUUAAAGCACAUUCUUUUCUAAAAACGCUUACGGGGGCUUGUUUCUACAUUAUAUAUGGGUCUAAUGUGAUGUUUGUCGUACACUCCAGCUCUCGUGUUUUUGGGCCCCUGUAAGUCAAAUAGUUAAACGCUCAUCUGUUGACUUAUUUAUUGGCAUCAGCUGAAUCACAGAGCUGACAUACUGUAUGAGUCAGCUGAAGAUGUUGUGCAAGUGUUUAUAAUAUCCAUGCUAUAGUUUAAACUGUUUGUGCUAAUAAACUCUCAACCACUCAUCAUGCUAACGUUCAGUGUUGAAGUGAG